rnacentral:rRNA from 1 species
AGAAUCAACGCUGGCGGCGUGCCUAACACAUGCAAGUCGAACGAGAAAGCGGAGCAAUCCGCAAGUAAAGUGGCGCACGGGUGAGUAACACGUGACUAACCUACCCUGGAGUGGGGGAUAACUGAAGAGAAAUCUUAGCUAAUACCGCAUAACACCUACGGGUCAAAGGAGCAAUUCGCUUCAGGAGGGGGUCGCGGCAGAUUAGAUAGUUGGCGGGGUAAUGGCCCACCAAGUCAGUGAUCUGUA